rnacentral:tRNA from 1 species
GUCUCUUUAGCUCAAUCGGUUAACGCGCUGCCUUGUAACCCAGAGGUCCCGGGUUCGAGCCCCGGAGGAGACA